UACGAAGGGGGCUAGCGUUGUUCGGAAUCACUGGGCGUAAAGGGCGCGUUGGCGGCCGAUCAAGUCGGGGGUGAAAGCCUGUGGCUCAACCACAGAAUUGCCUUCGAUACUGUUUGGCUUGAGACCGGAAGAGGUAAGUGGAACUGCGAGUGUAGAGGUGAAAUUCGUAGAUAUUCGCAAGGACACCAGUGGCGAAGGCGGCUUACUGGUCCGGUUCUGACGCUGAGGCGCGAAAGCGUGGGGAGCAAACAGG
rnacentral:rRNA from 1 species